rnacentral:rRNA from 1 species
CAAUAGCGUAUAUUAAAGUUGUUGCGGUUAAAAAGCUCGUAGUUGGAUUUCUGCUGAGGACGACCGGUCCGCCCUCCGGGUGAGCAUCUGGUUCGGCCUUGGCAUCUUCUUGGUGAACGUAUCUGCACUUGACUGUGUGGUGCGGUACCCAGGACUUUUACUUUGAGGAAAUUAGAGUGUUUCAAGCAGGCAUACGCCUUGAAUACAUUAGCAUGGAAUAAUAAGAUAGGACCUCGGUCCUAUUUUGUUGGUUUUGAGGACUAGAGUAAUGAUUAAUAGGGAUAGUUGGGGGCAUUCAUAUUUAAUUGUCAGAGGUGAAAUUCUUGGAUUUAUGAAAGAUGAACUUCUGCGAAAGCAUUUGCCAAGGAUGUUUUUCAUUAAUCAAGAACGAAAGUUAGGGGAUCGAAGAUGAUUAGAU